AGAGUUUGAUCCUGGCUCAGGAUGAACGCUAGCGGCAGGCUUAAUACAUGCAAGUCGUGGGGCAGCACAGUGUAGCAAUACAUGGGUGGCGACCGGCAAACGGGUGCGGAACACGUACGCAACCUUCCUUUAACUGGAGAAUAGCCCGGGGAAACCCGGAUUAAUACUCCGUAACAUUAUGAAGUGGCAUCACUUUAUAAUUAUAGCUCCGGCGGUUGAAGAUGGGCGUGCGUCUGAUUAGGUAGUUGGCGGGGUAACGGCCCACCAAGCCUACGAUCAGUAACUGGUGUGAGAGCACGACCAGUCACACGGGCACUGAGACACGGGCCCGACUCCUACGGGAGGCAGCAGUAAGGAAUAUUGGUCAAUGGACGCAAGUCUGAACCAGCCAUGCCGCGUGGAGGAUGAAGGUCCUCUGGAUUGUAAACUUCUUUUAUUUGGGAAGAAACCCCCGAUUUCUAUUGGGGUUGACGGUACCAGAUGAAUAAGCACCGGCUAACUCCGUGCCAGCAGCCGCGGUAAUACGGAGGGUGCAAGCGUUAUCCGGAUUCACUGGGUUUAAAGGGUGCGUAGGCGGGCAGGUAAGUCCGUGGUGAAAUCUCCAAGCUUAACUUGGAAACUGCCGCGGAUACUAUUUGUCUUGAAUAUAGUGGAGGUGAGCGGAAUAUGUCAUGUAGCGGUGAAAUGCUUAGAUAUGACAUAGAACACCCAUUGCGAAGGCAGCUCGCUACACUAUUAUUGACGCUGAGGCACGAAAGCGUGGGGAUCAAACAGGAUUAGAUACCCUAGUAGUCC
rnacentral:rRNA from 1 species